CUGGAUGCAGCAGGGAGACAGGUGAGGACAAGGGCAAUUCCAAUCCAGUGCUGGAGCUGUGAGCCCACCAUGGACUCAGAGGCUUUCCAGAAUAAGUAACAUCCAACCGGAAGUCUAAAGGCUGAGCUAUCCAAGUGAAGAGGAGGGACAAGCACUUUCCUGGUAGAGAGAAUAAAACAUGCAGUUCCAUAUGUUUAAGGAACUGAAAAUAGUUCAGUGUGGUGGGACCAUGGUACUUGAAGGCAGGAGGGGUGGCCAAGAGGCUGCAGGGGCAGCAGGGGUCUGACUCCUGCAGGCCUGCUUGCUAAGCCAUGGGAGGAGUUGCACUGACUCUGAGGACAGGAGAACCUGGAGGGGGGGAGGGAGUUUCUGCUGGGAUUAUGUUCAGGACUGUUUGGAAAGACCUUGCUGGCUGCCCAGUGGAGUUUGGGAUGGAGGGAAGUGAACCUGGGUGCCCAGAGACCAGUGAGGUGGCUGGUCCAGCUAUCAGGUGGGGGCUGGAGGGGGGUUUGUGUGGGUGGGUGUGUGGGGUGCGUUUAGGAAACAGUAUGGCUCUAACUCAGGCAAGCUCAGCGACAUCUUCACCCUGCAGGGUCCGAGCCUACCCUAUCACGGUAAUCUUCACACUACUCUGAGCAUUUACUGUGUGGACAUAUCCAGCUAAGUGCUUGGAAUUUACAAGUCCAUGCACAAGGCCCUUCUGUAUGCUCAUCACAGGUGAGGUGUUGGGGGCCCCAGAAGAUGCAUAAACCAGAUCUGGUCAUAUGGGAGAGGGAGUUCAUAAAACUUUCUGAGCCUAGGUAUAGAGGGCAGAGUCUGGAGCCGGCUGUGUGGGCUGAGAGGAGGUGACUGCCUCUGGCCAGUGAGCAGCCACCACCCUCUGACUACUCACCUGGAGCCCAAGGCCUAACCCUGCUGUGCCCUGUUCUCUCUGACACCUCUUCAUCACACUCCCCAUGGUCACCCUGUCUGCAAAUGGAUAACCAAGACUGUUGGAAGUUCAACUGCUUUUGUAAAAGGUGCUCCUCCCACUUUGCUACUGGGCUCAGAGAACUGAAGUGAGUUGCAGUCAUGGACCUGGUGAAUGCCAGGCAGGGAUCCGAACUCUGACUGAUUCACCCUCCCACUUCAUGGAGUGACUUGCUACUUCCAAGUUCAUAGCCACUGUGCCAAUUUUCUAGGGCUGCCAUCACAAAAAUACCAGAGACUGGUGGCUUGAACAGACAUUUGCCUGGGGCCGUGGCACACAACUGUAAUAGCAUCUACCAGGAGACUGGCAGGAGGAUCUCAAGUUCAGGCCAGCCUGGGCCAUGGAGCCAGAGCCUGGAGAGAGGAGGAGAGAGAGGGAAGGAGAGAGGAGGGAGGGAAGGAGUAAAUAAAAGGAAACAACAGACAUUCAUUCUCUCACAGUUUUGAAAAUUGAAAGCCUAAAAUCGGGAUGUGGUAGCUUUGAUUUCUCCCAAGGUCUCUUUCCUGGGUUUGCAGAUGUCCUACUACGGACACCCCCAGUAUCUCUCUGGAUGUUUUUGUCUCCUUAUAACGACAUCAGUCAGAUUGGAUUGGGGCCCACACAAGUGGCCUCAUUUUAACUUAACCACCUCUUCAAGGCCCUAUUCCCAAUACUUUCUGAGGCACAGUGGGUCAGGACUCCAACACGUGAAUCGGUCACACCCCACUCACUGUCUCCAGGUGGUGCUGAAAUGCCUCAGAGACCCACGACCUGUAGAAUGUCCGGGAUAGAAGGGCUCCAGCAUGGGCCCCCUCCACCAUUGUCCUGAUGUGGUCACGGUGCACGAGGAGGACAGGGACUGGCCCAUCUUCACCCGGCUGGGCAGGAGCAGAGCUGAGACACACCCGGUAAUGGGAAUCUCCUGAGUGCCCAGCAUCAUCCCCCUCUUCCCACUCACAGAGAGCUUAGUUUUGGGGGGUGAUUUUGCCACCUGCUCCCUUCUCUCUGUGAGGUGAGAGGGGUUCAGCUCUGGGGAAGGUCUUGGUUAGAUAAAACUGAUCCACAUAUCCCAUUUUCCUGCCACCAUGGUGUGUUCUGGGACAGAUGUGCAGCCCCAUCUGGAAACCCAGCUCUUUGUAUUUUUUGAGACAGGGUCUUGCUCAGUUGCAGAGGCUGGCCUUGACCUUGUGAUCCUCCUCCCUCAGCCUCCCAAGUCACUGGGAUUACAAGAAGGUGCCCCACCCCCAGCCAGCACUCAGGAUAGUUUUAAUGGGUACACAGGCUGCAGGUGGCUGCCACUAACCCACUCUUUCCUCCAGGGUCCCGGCUGUUGCAAUGGCUGUGCACAGGUAUCGGUAGAAGUUCUAAGUCGCAUGGAACAGGAAUGGAUUUAAACAGAGAAGGAAUGCACUGAAAGGCUCACAUUGUCCCUGGGAGCGCUGGAGAAUUAAGCUCCUUGACUAUGUAGCCAAACCACACUGUAACUGGGCCAUCGAACUAGAGUGGCCAGGUUGCUGCCACCACCACCAUAGUCACAACCAUAGCCACCAUCGUUGCCACUGCUGACUGGACUCCCCUGCCUGUACUGCUGCUGCCCUGCUACUUUGGAGGCAGAUCUUGCUGCAGCUGCCACCACUGCCUCCCUGGGCCAGUGGUCAAGUCAGAGUCCCCUGGCUGGUGAUGCUGGGGCCAGUGCCUGCUUCCCAGCUGUGAGGGAGGCUGGGAAAGCAACUAACUAGCCCUUUGGGUUUCUAGAGUGGGAGGUGGGACCUGCCUCCCUACAAAUCUCAUAAAGUGAGGGAUUCUUUAAAUCCAGGCUGGGUCUCCAUGGUGGGAUUCAAAAAACAAAACCACACAUUCAACAUGAGGCAGAAGGGACUGAGAUCCAAUGGGGACACUAGCUUCAGUGUAAUACAUGAUAAGUCUGAACUGAAGAAUGCAGCUUGAACCUCCCUCCUGGAACCCAAUUUUCCAGGGCUGUUCUGCCUUGCUGAGCGGCGGCAGGGCAGCAGGAGCAGCACAGCGAUGAGAUUCCAAAGGGCAGAUCCAGGGGAAGGCCAGCAACUGAGCAUGACCUGUCCUCUGCCUCCCCAUAUAGACCAGGGGUGGAGAGGACCGAAGGGUCUCUGAUGCCUUCUCCUCCUUGUAGAACCCAUGGGAAUCUCCCUUCUCACAUGGACAUAAAGCCAAGAUUGAGGUAGGGUGUGAGGGUUGGAGGAGGAGGGAGAAGAGGAUGGCGCUCCCAGAGUCCCGGAGGCAAAGUCAGAUAUCCGGGGGGCCUGGAAGGUGAGAAGGGAGGAGCGCACCUUUGCACAUUUAGUGUACAAGGAAGCGUGGCCUUCACUUCCACACAGAACUGCCCUCUGUUUGUCCUUAAACAUUUGCUUCUGCGUGUGUGCGUGUGCGUGUGUGGGGGGGCAGUCUUGACAAUUUUGAAGGACAUGGGACAUGCUGGCUCUCUUCCACUGGCCCUUCCUUCAGAGUCUUCCUGCCUCCCCAUUCCUAACAGUGCUGGGUAGAGGCUGAUCCGCAUGGACUCCCUUGUCUGCUGGCUUCCAAUGGUGUAGCUCCUGGGAGCCACAGAGAAGACUGGAGGGAGUGGAGGAGAAUGUAUUUGAAUAACUAUUUUGAGGGCUUCCUUCCCAUGGAGUGACCCAGCCUCAGCCAGGUCAGCAGCCCCCUCUCUGCAGGCCUCCUGCCCAUAUCCUUUCAGAUUCACAGUGGCAAUAGCUCCCCCUCUGUAGCCCUGGGGACUGUAUCUUUCAUUCCCUAGAUCCUGGCCGUACCGUAUAGAUAAUCCCAGUAAAUUCUCCUCAGUUGCCCAGCAUAAAAGCCAUCUGUUCCUGCUGGAACCCAGAAUGAGUGGGAGAAUGCUUCUCUACCCAAGAAAAAAUAGCUCACAUGAGAAAAAACAGGAUCCCAGUCAUCUCGUGCUCCUUCAUGUGAGGUGGACAGUAGGGAAUAGUAGGGACUGUGACAAAUGGAAAGCACAGAGCCUCUCAAAUCCUAGCCUUUUGUUGCCAUGACAGUGACUGUCCAACAUUGCCAGUUCUUCCCAUUUUUUCCAGAGUGACAAAACAUCAGAUUUUCAAGAGAGAGCUCCAGUUGUCCAAGGUUAGCUCAGAUCAGUUUCAGAAGUCAGGGUGAGAGCCAGGCCAACAACGAGAGCUGAACUUGGCCACAGGUAUGCUUAGCAAUAGCUGGAUGUCACUGACAAGGACCAUGAUCUAGAGACAGACGGAACAACGCCUGAGGGCAACAGAACAGCACCCAAGGACGGGACCGAUGGGCACCAACUUGGAACUGUAUUUAAACCGCUGUCCUGCCACAUCAGAGAGCUUCGCUCCUAGGACGUCAGUGAGACUGGCCGCCUUGCUGGCCGUCACUGGAUCGAUUCCACCAUUCCCUGGUGUCCAAUCAUCGGCUGGAGAGAACCACUGCACAACAACAACAGUAACAAUGACAACAACGUUCCCUCUUCAGCUAAGAGAAGUUGCGUAGCAUCGGAGGUACUUGGAACUCGUGGUUGUUCUGGGAUUGUUGUGAUGUGUUUAAUUAGUGUGAGCUGA
rnacentral:lncRNA from 1 species